GCGCAGCCGGCCCGCAAAGAGCGUAACCGGCGGCAGCAGCCCGCGGACGGCCGGGCUGGGGCACGGGGAGGAGCCUCAGCGCUGUGCCGCCUCUUCCCGAGGCUCGGCACAUCCCCACCCCUCACCCGGAGCCGCUCUCCCCGGCAGGGCGCCUGCGCGGCGCCGCGUUCGCCCCGCGGGGCUCGGAGGGCGGGUCACAGAGGCGUGGUUGUGAUGUGUUGAUCUGCAGUUCGGGUGUGCGCCGUGUGCACUGCUGUUCUAAGCCCAGUACCUCACAAAACCAUUGGAGUCACUAGAGUUAUUUCGAUAAGAAAACGAGGAGAGCGAGCUUUUAAUUCCAGUUCGGCAGCUGUGUUCUCCAUACAUGGAGUAGUGGUUGAAAUGCCAGCAGCCAUGUUGAGGAGAGUGGCUGACACGUUGAGCGUGCUUAGGAACGUGCCCACAGCCCCACAGCUUUGGGGAGACGUGGCUAAGGGAGGCAUAGCAGUUCCAAAAUCCAGACUUGAAAUGAAAGAUGGGUGUCUACGUAGCUGUGAGAAAAUGGGACAAAACAACGUUGCAAUACUUCCGCAGUCCCUGUAGGUGUUCUAGAGCUGUGGAGAUGUGGCACUGAAGGACAAGAAUGGUGUGAAACUUCUGGGGUGAACUGGAGACAGCUGAAGCAAUCCUGCUGGCAGGUUGCGAAAGCUGGUCUCUGUUCUGUGAGCCACCUCAAGAGCUACUGAAACGUCUCUGCUCUAGCAGAACCAACACACAGUUGAAGGCUCCAAGCACCAGUACGAUGCCCUGGAGGACGACUAGCCUGAACAAGAAGUGGCACUUAGCCUUCCUGCUGCACCAUGCACCCCUGCGAGGUGAGGUGAGGUGCUGUUAGCUUCCCCAUGUAAUUUGGUUUUGACAGAGCCUGGGUAGUGUGUGCUUUAGCUCUGUAAAAACAAAAAUCACAAUUACAGAGCAAAACAGUGUUAUCAGCAUGUCCAAUGUUAUGAGUAGAUACCAAAGGUUAAUGUUCACUCAUCUGUGGUCACACCCUGGCAAAUGCAGCAAGGAGCAGCAGCAAUUCAGCUGGAUUCUCUCAUGGUGGCCAGCAUUUCUGUAUCGAGACUGUGUAUCCCCUGCCUCCUGUCCUAGGAACUGCCACAGGGCCAUGAGCUUUGCAAGAGGGAAGACAGGUUACAGUGCUCUUGUACUUCUUGAACUAAAGACUACACAAGUGAGACAAAACUCAGUCUGGAAAAAUAUAUAAAGGGUUGUUUCUGCUUCUUCAUAUGGCCUUUCCAAAAUGCAAUGAGAAAAAUGCCCACCUUCAAUUUUCUGUACUCAUGACAGAGCCACUCUUUGGUUCCUCAGUCCUUUCUGUCUUCUUUAAGGUUGACAGCAGAGGACUGGAAUUGAGUUUUUUAUGAUCACUAGUCACUACAUCCAUGGGAGGAAAUUACUUUUUUAUUAUUUGAUGGCGCUGUGCACUCAAGUUCAUCUCUCAGUAUCAUCCCAUUAAGGGAGAUCUGGCCAAAAGCUUUUCAACACUCUCCUGCAUCAAGAAAAAUUUCCAUCCUGGAGUUCUGAUGAGAGAUCUGACAGCCAGUUUGUCUUCAAUCUUCUCCCUAACAGCCAGGAAAUGACUAAGUGCAGACAUUACAUAAACUGCACUUCCAACUCAGUAAUGCUAAUUUUUUAUCUUCUCUCUAUUGAAAUGGGUUGAAAACCCAGGGAUUCAGACAAAAUGUAUACCAGUGCAGAGACUUGGGAGCACUUUGACACAACAGCUUUUAAAGAGUGCAUGGACCAGCACCCUAAAUUUCUCAGAAAGCCUCCACAACCCACACCGCACAUGUUGUGCCCUCUGGGAGGACUGAUGCAGGCAACCCUCUCUUAUCCUGUGUUGAGAAUGAGAAAGUGCCAAGGCUCUGCACCUGCCCCUGCCAGCAGCCUUGUUGGAUCAGGGAGCAGGGAAGGAACACAGUGAGCCUCUGGCUGCCAAUGAAGGCUCACUCCCGCUAUAUGUGUGCCAAAAACUAUUCCUCGUUCUACAACUCAAGCCAGAGUGACAUGAAAGCAAGGAUGUCCAGAAAGACAGUGGCUGCCAGACACUAGCUGUGAUUAAUCCCAGAGAAUUUGGGAAGACUCAGAGCCAUAUUCUAAUCACACUACUGUUGCCUAGAUACCAUGUGGGGAGGAGGGAAGAGAAUCUGUGUUUGGGUGACUGUCUCCUUGCUGCACCUGAACUCUGAAUUGCUGAGGCUGUUGCAGACACACUGCUGAAAUACAGUGACUUGGGCUGAUUCUAGUUUGGACAUCAGUUUUAAAGUGCUCAGAACUACUAACUACAGAGAAAAUUAGUUUUGACCUUCAUUAUGGUGAUAGAGGUGCUGGCAAAGGGCAACACACUCUCAUUGUCAACCAGAAACAGAUACUGGUAUUUCCAGUCCUUCUUCUGAGACUGUCUUAACUUGCAGGAAGGUAAUGAUUGAGAUUAAUCCUUUCAUCUUUAUAACACUACUGGAAAAGAAAAGGGGCGGGGGGGGGGAAACAGUGUUUGUAGUCUGGCCAUAAAAUUAUUUGCUCGGUAAAGUCAAUUGCAUUUCCACUGUAUUUCAUUCUGUGUGAUGUCUACAAUACCAAUUUAUGAGAAAACAGAUCACUGGGGAGAACUGUGAUCAACUAGUUUUCCAUCACUUAUGCAGGAUGUUGUAACAGUGUACUGCUUAACUAGCCCCAGCAAAAAUGCAUGAAUGUUAUUUGAGCUUCUUAAUUACCACUAUUAACCUAUUGCUUCCUGAGACUUGCACUGCUACAGCAUGCCUACAUGCAUACUUUUUUUGUGUCUGUAGGCAAUGCCAUUGUCAGGUGGCAGCAGGCAUUUGUUUUAUCACUUCUUGGCAGCCAGACCACUACAAGUCUGGAGGAGAAUCAGGCCCUCCCUUUGCUUGGGUAGCAACAAGAGCACCAUUAUUUGAGGAGAGAAAAAUUGCCUGUAGUUGUGUUGAAAGCUCUUGUCUUUAUUAGUAGAAGUAUUAAUGUUUCCCAGUGUGCUCUGAAUUUAUAGUCAAAUGUUUUGCUUUCAGUUUGGAGAUGCUUGUAAAAGCUGCCUGCUUCAGAAGCUGGUGUACAGCCUUACAGUUUGAAGGCUCUCCUCAGGCUGAUUGGAGUUAAAGCCCUUGCUCUUCUCUAGGGGAGAGCAAGUUCAUCUGUGCAAAGUAAGAACACCUAAUACAGAGAUGAACAAAGUUGACUUAAAAUGCCACUAAAUACUGACACCAUUCCUCAGAAAGGCUAAAUGUCCUAAAGUCAUGUGGUAGGAAGCAAGAAGAGUGGACCAUACUAAAAUGUAAUGAAUAUGAGACCAAGUUCCUAAGCAGUUCUAGCCAUAGACCUCUCCAUCAAGUUAAGCAGAUUGCUACCUACUUAGAUUCAGUGCUUCCUUUUCAGCCCAGAGAGAGCGGCAAUAGCCAGGAGCAAGGGCAGAGCUGCAACUAGCCAGGGUGUUAAGCCAUCUGUAGUUAAAUCACAUCUGUAGCCUACUGGUAGACUGAUUUGAAUGGGAAGAAUGGAGUAACGUGAGUUAGUAGCUUUGAUACAAAGGAUGCCAAGAUCUGGCCUGCAAGAUUUAAUACUUUAAUCUGCUGCCCAAGUGUAUCCCUGCUGUAAUCACAGCCACAGCGCAGUCCUUGAGUAGCUGAAGAUUAGAGAAAAACUGAUAAUCCCAGGUGUGUCACACACAUGAAAGCUAUUAAGUGGAUUUACAGAGGACAUAAGGUAUAUAGAAACUCAUUAUUUUCCCACUGAGACAAAACUGUUCAUUAAUAUAUGACAGAGAGCAUACUCUGGAAAAUUGGAAGUGAGUAUUGAAAAUGAACAAAUCCCAAUAGUCCUAACACAUAUGUGAUGAACUGGUUAUUAAUAUUCAAUCCAGCAAGCUCUGUCACUAAGGUUGAGUACCAUUUCUGAUGAUAUUUGUAAGUCUACAUGCCCUAGAUGGUACUCAUCUCCAGUGUUAGAAAAAGUAACUCUAAAAUCCAGGAUCUCACUGCAGUCAACGCAAAUUUCAGGCAGAAGGGUAUGGAUUUAAGUUCACACGCACAAAAACAACAACAACAGAGUUCAAUUUAAAAUGUGACUUCAGACAUUUCCAUUGCAGCUGAUACAUUAAUUAUGCCACAAUUAUAUUAAUUUGGUCUUUAAAGUCUCACUUGCAAAAUCUUCUUGUGUGAGCAAUUACAGUAAGCAACAGCUCUGCUUUGGUUUCAUUGCACCUGCUGUCCCCAGGCUGUACCAGUUAAUUGUGAUUGUUUAUCCCAUCGUACUCUUCGCUACUAAUUUGCUUGGCACCAUGAAGAAACAUCACACCACUUACAAAGCGCUGUUAAAUCCUGGCAGCAAAAAGGCUGAAAAAUGGAGGCAGGUUUUUGGAGGAUGCAAAAUGGAGGCUGAUUUUUGGAGGCUGAAAAAUGGAAGCUGAAAAAUGGAGGCUGGUUUUUGGAGACUGAAAAAUGGAGGCUGGAUUUUGGAGGCUGAAAAAUGGAGGCUGAAAAACGGAAGCAGAAAAAUAAAGGCUUAAAAAUGGACGCUGAAAAAUGGAGGCGGAUUUUGGAGGUUGAAAAAUGGAGGCUGUAAAAUGCAGUCUGAAAAUGGAGGCUGAAAAAUGGAAGCUGAAAAAUGGAGGUUG